UGUCUGGUUAUUACAGAGUCAUUCGUUGGGCAAACGAACCACGUCCAAUAAGGUGGUGUGAUUACAACGAAAGGAAGGGAUUCAGGAUAUUCCCUGGACUGGCUGACGAUGAACUGGGCGUUGGGAAUCCAAGUAUUCCCAGGUUUCUGAGCACAAACCCCUGGCUGGAUGUGACGUCACCGGCUGCAGUGAGGACAAGAAGAGAGGACUACUUAAGGAAGUAGAUGACACAGUUCUUCUAGAAGAGAAAGUGAGCAAGAAGGAGCCAAGACGAUGAUCCAGAGGAAAAAAGACGAGGACCCGCCCUUCUAGCUAUUAAAGCAAAUGACACGUUCGCAAUCAUUCAAACCAACGAGUCCUGCGCAGCCGAUGCUGGGGGCACGGACGUGUGUCCCACACCAUUAGGAGCGGCUCUUCCUGUAUGGACCCAUCUGAACCUCAAGUUAAUCUCCUUUCACAGCUCCUGUCAUUUCCAGGGCACACCCAGGAAGGACAAGCAACCGGCGAGGACCAGGGAGGGACCAAGAUGGAGGGACAUCCUCCCUGCCUGUGCCGCAGCUGGGAGAGACACAGUGACGGGGCCAUGGACGCGGGGACUCCCUGGUGGGAUGACCUAAGGCAGAGAGGUAAGGCAGGGCAUAGGCCAAGUGUCUGGCCCAAGGUCCAGCUGACCACUCAGCCUCAGUUUCCUCAUCUGUAAAAUGGGGCAAAUAAGGUCAUGGGUAUGAAAGGGCCUCACAGGACACAGGGAGUGGUUGGGACCAUAAUCUGAAAGAGUUGGAGCCUGGAAGGGGAGGCGGUCUGGGCUGUGAAGCAGUGGGAGGCCCUCCCUGGGCCAUAGGGGGGGUGGCCUGGGGGCAGGGUCCACACGUUUUCCUCCACACGUCCGUCCCUGGCUGAGGGAGGCCACGGUCCGGAGUGGCUAAAGGUCAUGCUUCUGCAUCUGACAGGACUUGUCAGGCUUCUGCCCUCACACCUUGAGAGGCCAGUGUGGCUUAGAGCCAGGUUCCUAUGCUGGCUGCCCCGGAGGCGGGGGCUGGGGCGGGGCAGGAGGAAGGCUCCAGAACACGUUCAGGAGCUCAGGACCGUCCAGCCUGGAGCCUCCCCAGGCAGGGGCGGAGUAAGGAGGUGAGACCCUUGGUGGUCAGGGCCCACUUGCCCCACAGGCAGGUGACUUUCCCUGGGGAAGCCCCAGAGGCCAGCCCUGCAGACCGCAGCUUCAGAGGGGGGGUGGUCCCGGGCCCUGGAGCCAAGGGAGAACCCGGGCUGGGGAG